GGCCUCCCAGUGGGGUCUGAUAAAGGGCACCUGGCCUCUAUAAAGACCCAGGAAGGCAUAGCAGGGAGCUGAUCAGAGUUGUUUGCUACAUGGGACCAAGAGAGAAGUGGCUGGGAGAUGCUAGUGAAGAGAGCUGGCCCAGAGGGAUGACUGAUGAGAACUGUUAGAGAAAACUGGCCAGAGCUGGGGAGCCUUGUUGAGUAAAAGGCUUCCACAGGGACCCUAGAUCAUUUGUGCUGGGGACUGCGGGAGAAGAGUUCCAAGAAGCCCUGAGAAUUGCCUGGGGUGUGAGGGCACAGGAACUGAAGAAGAGGGACUGUUAACAGGUUGCCUUACCCUGAGGGAUCUGCUGAUAGUUUCACAUACAUACAAAUAAUGCAGGGAAGCAGGCUUGAAUUGGACUCUAAGAGGGACAACAUUCCUUUCCUGGGUGGCAAAGGUGACCCUCGGUCUGAUGUUUGGUGGAAAAGAUGGGCAUCUUCAUUAGUCCCAGGGAAUGUAGGGGAAACCGAGGCAGGAUGUGGCUGCAGUUGGAUGUAGGAAGAUACCCUAGUGGGCUGUGGGGGUAAGCCCAGUUAUGAUGUCCCACCCCUUUUUGAA